UGAGGAGAUCUUGGCCAUUUACAGCUGCGGUUUUGGUGAGGAAUUUUGUGUUCUUGGAGCUUCCAAGUGCUCCAAUGGUGGAGUAUAGUUAGGAGGAGCCUUGUACCUUCCAUUUGGGUUGCCGUACAUCGACCUGAAUCCCGAAUCUUGAAUCAGUGAAUUGCCCUUGGUCCGGGACCAAGUGGAUUGAGGCAUUCCGCUGUGUACCGAGUUGAGGGAUAAGCUGCUACGGAGCUUGUGGAAACACGAAUUAAGGAGGUAGCAGUGGAGCAGGAGCCUCGGGCAAGAGGCCCGCAGAGUGAGCGCUGGAGCGCUUCAUAUUUUGCAUUUUGUUGGCCGUGUGGCCUAGGCUAGACUUAGGGCAUGAACAUGUCAUUUGUAUUUAUUAG